rnacentral:lncRNA from 1 species
CAAGUGGGGACUGAGGACACCCAGGUCUCCAACUCCAGCCAGGAGGAGGCUGGAGAGAGAGGCGAGGCUGGAGAGAGAGGUGGUGGUGAGUGCUAUGGAAAACCAAAACAGAAAUGUGAGCUGAAAAUGAAAUGCCUGAAAGGAGCCAGCCAUAGGAAGAUUGAAGGGCUCUAAGGCAAAAAAGAGCCCAACGGUGCUAGAAGGAAAUUGAAGGCAAGGUGACCACGGUGAUACCACAUGGACAGUGACACGAGGACAGAGGGAUAGGGCCUUGAAGACCAUAGAAAGGAAUUUGGAUUUUAUUCUAAG